AACACAGAGAUAUGGAGGAACACCAGUGGCGAAGGCGACUUUCUGGUCUGUAACUGACGCUGAUGUGCGAAAGCGUGGGGAUCAAACAGGAUUAGAUACCCUGGUAGUCCACGCCGUAAACGAUGAGUGCUAAGUGUUAAGGGGUUUCCGCCCCUUAGUGCUGCAGCUAACGCAUUAAGCACUCCGCCUGGGGAGUACGACCGCAAGGUUGAAACUCAAAGGA
rnacentral:rRNA from 1 species